ACGCAUGCGUAGGACUCGCGGUAUAAAGGCGCGCACACGUGGGGCUUCGGUCUGUUCAAUUUGGAAGUGUAGCAGCCCGGCUAGGAUCCUUCACGUGAAGAUGAGACAAAAAGCGCCUUCGUGAGAACGGUGGUGGCGGAUUUACAACUGAAAUGCUUCGAAGCUGUGCGGAACGUUUAUAAAAGAAUGCUCGUACGAAUGGAGCUGAGUACUUUCAAUAAAAAUUUACUCGCUUGAACACUUA